GAGUUCAAUUGUACAACACACACUCUGAUAGUCUUUAGGGAGUGGAAAAGAAAACGUAACAGCAGCAGUUCUGCAAUCAGCUUAUGAGAUGGAAUAUGACGCUGAAAUACCAGAGAUCAAAAGUAUAAAGGAAGAGAAUUUGCUAGGGGAAGUGUACACAAUAUCAGACAAACUGAAGAUGGAGAAAGACAAAAGGGACCGAUCACUAUCUGAGUUUGAAGGAACUUCAGACGUUGAAAAUGUUAAGGAUCUUAUUAAAGGUAGUUAUGGAACCACUGAGGGUGAAAAUUUUUAUGCAUCACCCUUAGUUUCCAAGGCUGUUGAAGAAAAUGGUAGUUCAGUGGAAGCCCCUGUAUCAGUCAAUACACCAAACAAAUCAGAUGAACAGAUGUCCGGGAGUUCAUUCCAUCAGGAGGAAAAAGCAGAAGAGAAAAGAGUAGAAAUCGUUUCUGCGGGAAUACAGAAUCCAAGUGAAGAGAGUGAAACAUCUUGUGAAAUGAACAAUGUUGAGAAGAACACAUCUAUCCCCUUGACCGUCCGAGGAGAUGUUAGCUCUGAAAAAUAUAAAACGGAGGGGGCAGACGCUGAAGCAAUCAAAUCACCUGGUGACGCUAACGAUGAGAAAGUAGUCAAAGAUGAGAAUGACUACAAUGGCGAUAGAAAUAUUUUCAUAUCCCCCAAUUCAGAGUGCCAAAGAGGAGAGGACGAGAAAAAAGAGACAGGAGAUGGAGAGGGUGCUAGGAAUGUGCUUUUUAACUCAUUUGUUGAUGUUGUAGAAGAAACCAGGUCAGAUUAUGCUGAAUCAGAUACGAGUGGGAAACAUGGGGACAACUCAAUCGAGAAGGUAAACCAAGAUGUUGCUGACCAUCCAGAAGUAGAGCAAAAAACUGAAGAACUAGAAAUUGAAGAAAAACCAAUUAUUGAAGAGAAAACUAAAGAACCAAUAGUUAUGGAGAAACAUGCAGGAUCAGCGGUUGAAGAAAAACCUGAAGAACCAGCAGUUGA
rnacentral:misc_RNA from 1 species